CCUUUCUAAUUACAGUACAAUGAAUGGUUAUUUCUUCCUGCUACCAUUUUUGUACUGAAGUUGCCCAGUAAAAUUAUUUGCUCAGUUGUGCAGUCCUCAGUUACUAUUUGCAUCCAUUUUAAGCUAGCUACAAGGUCCCAUCGUGCUCAUGUUUUCUUUAGUAGCUUCUUCAUGUGCUCGGAUGAUUAGCAGACCGUUAGCUCAACAAGCUACGUCUGUAGCUACUACCACCGCAGGCCAACAGCCAGCUGAAAAGGAACUUGAGGAGUCGUUUGGUACAAACAAGAACAAACAAGUGAUGACAGCUACAAUGCUGAUCCAGAUGAGGACUACUACACUGUAGGUACGCAAUACACUAUAUGGGUCUCCUUUUAAUUGAUGCUCAUAUUGUACUAUUGUAUAUCAAACAAUGUAAUUAAGUCAGACUCAAUUGCUAACCAAUUAAUGUAUAAAAAAUUAAAAUAUUUAUCUAA